UACGAAGGGUGCAAGCGUUAAUCGGAAUUACUGGGCGUAAAGGGCGCGUAGGCGGCCUUCUAAGUCGAACGUGAAAUCCCCGGGCUCAACCCGGGAACUGCGUCCGAGACUGGAAGGCUUGAAUCCGGGAGAGGGAUGUGGAAUUCCAGGUGUAGCGGUGAAAUGCGUAGAUAUCUGGAGGAACAUCGGUGGCGAAGGCGGCAUCCUGGACCGGUAUUGACGCUGAGGCGCGAAAGCCAGGGGAGCAAACGGG
rnacentral:rRNA from 1 species